UACCGGAUUAUCAGGCUUGGGUACAGCGUUCUCAGCACGAGCAACUGGGACAGCAGUUGGAUCCUUCCCACUGAGGGUGUCGUGCAGGUAGAAGAGGAGGUUGGUGACCUUCUCUGAACCUAGCUGGGAAUCUGCAGCAUUGCAAUGGAUGGAGAUGUGGAUGAGGAGGAGGAGGAGGAGGAGGGAGAGGAAGAAGAAGGAUGGGGCUCUCAUGGUGUUCUUGCUUUUGGUUAUUGGAUCUCUGAAUUCUAAAAUUGAGUUUGGUACAGAG
rnacentral:lncRNA from 1 species